AGAGCAUAACCCUACCUUAAAGGUUUUUUACAAAAGACCAGUAAGAUGACCGCGGGGAAGAGCGAUUGCCGCCAAACCCGACAAUCCCAGUUCCAUUUGCGGGACUCAAAAGGGUGGAAAGCCAGAACCGACUCCGGCAACCAGUUUGGUCGGAGCUGCCAACACGGAGCCCAUCCUGAAGGGGCCUUGGAGCCAUCCAGCUAUGUUCAGCCUGCAGUGACCUCACCCAAGUCACUGCACCUUUGUAGCUCAGUUGACUCAUGUGCAGAAGUGACAGUAGCCGUUCUUCAGAUGGCACCAAGACCUUGAACCUGGCCGGGACUUGGCUCAGUUGGACGGCAAUCCCACACUCCUGCUGCCGUGGAUAGUGGACGAAGAUGCGCUGGAUGACGUUGCGGGGCCGGAAGACCUCCUUGGGGAAGACAUCCAGCAGCAAGUUGUACACUGACAGGUCCCGCUCCACUCCGAACUCG